rnacentral:rRNA from 1 species
CCUACGGGUGGCUGCAGUGGGGAGUAUUGGACAAUGGGGGGAACCCUGAUCCAGCCAUGCCGCGUGUGUGAAGAAGGCCCUCGGGUUGUAAAGCACUUUCAGUGAGGAAGAACGCCUGGUGGUUAAUACCCAUCAGGAAAGACAUCACUCACAGAAGAAGCACCGGCUAACUCCGUGCCAGCAGCCGCGGUAAUACGGAGGGUGCGAGCGUUAAUCGGAAUUACUGGGCGUAAAGCGCGCGUAGGUGGCUUGAUAAGCCGGUUGUGAAAGCCCCGGGCUCAACCUGGGAACGGCAUCCGGAACUGUCAAGCUAGAGUGCAGGAGAGGAAGGUAGAAUUCCCGGUGUAGCGGUGAAAUGCGUAGAGAUCGGGAGGAAUACCAGUGGCGAAGGCGGCCUUCUGGACUGACACUGACACUGAGGUGCGAAAGCGUGGGUAGCAAACAGGAUUAGAUACCCGUGUAGUC